UGGGCGAAAGCCUGACGGAGCAAUACCGCGUGAGGGAUGACUGCCUAUGGGUUGUAAACCUCUUUUUUCAGGGAGGAACACAAUGACGUGUACCUGAAGAAUAAGCAUCGGCUAACUCCGUGCCAGCAGCCGCGGUAAGACGGAGGAUGCAAGUGUUAUCCGGAAUCACUGGGCGUAAAGCGUCUGUAGGUGGUCAAAUAUGUCAACUGUUAAAUCUUGAGGCUCAACCUCAAAAUCGCAGUCGAAACUAUUAGACUAGAGUAUAGUAGGGGUAAAGGGAAUUUCCAGUGGAGCGGUGAAAUGCGUAGAGAUUGGAAAGAACACCGAUGGCGAAGGCACUUUACUGGGCUAUUACUAACACUCAGAGACGAAAGCUAGGGUAGCAAAUGGGAUUAGAUACCCCAGUAGUC
rnacentral:rRNA from 1 species